UACGAAGGGGGCUAGCGUUGCUCGGAAUCACUGGGCGUAAAGGGUGCGUAGGCGGGUUUUUAAGUCAGGGGUGAAAUCCUGGAGCUCAACUCCAGAACUGCCUUUGAUACUGAAGAUCUUGAGUCCGGGAGAGGUGAGUGGAACUGCGAGUGUAGAGGUGAAAUUCGUAGAUAUUCGCAAGAACACCAGUGGCGAAGGCGGCUCACUGGCCCGGUACUGACGCUGAGGCACGAAAGCGUGGGGAGCGAACGGG
rnacentral:rRNA from 1 species